GCGCCCGUAGCUCAGUUGGAUAGAGUGUCUGGCUACGAACCAGGAGGUCGGAGGUUCGAAUCCUUCCGGGCGCGCCA
rnacentral:tRNA from 2 species